rnacentral:miRNA from 1 species
GGAAGAUGGCUUGAGCCCAGGAGGUUGAGGCUGAAGUGAGCUGUGAUUGCACCAUUGCACUCCAGCCUGAGUGACAGAGCAAGUCCCUGUCUC